UUCUUCUAUUGAAUUGGGUAACUGCAGCCGCUUUUCCUAAAGGUGAUCCAUGACAAUUGCUUCUUGCUGGUGAAGUUGGACCGUAAUGUCCUGGAGAACCGGUAGAGACCUGAUUGUAUGAACUUGGUGGAGUGAAUUGUGACGGACUGGUUCCAAGGGGGAGUGGUGCAAAAUUUCCUGUCGAUGGACUCAUACCAAUUCCAUUUGAAUGUGAAUACUGAAUAAACCUUCGUCUUGCAUCUGGACUACUUCCAAGCAUUGAUAGACCAGCUUUUGCAUGCAUGUUCAUCCCAGAAGGACCAGCUGGUGAAUAAUAUGCAAACAUAUUACAGCUAUCCCCAUAACUCCCAUAACUGCUUCCAAGGCCAAUACCAUCAUUGUAACUACCAUGGCUUCCUACACUGCCAAAACUAUUACCAUGUGCAUAGGGAACCACUUGAAAGUGUGGGCUGUUAUGAUGGGAUACUCUGGUCCUGCCUGAUAU
rnacentral:misc_RNA from 1 species